rnacentral:rRNA from 1 species
GAUGAACGCUGGCGGCGUGCCUAAUACAUGCAAGUCGAGCGAACGGACGAGAAGCUUGCUUCUCUGAUGUUAGCGGCGGACGGGUGAGUAACACGUGGAUAACCUACCUAUAAGACUGGGAUAACUUCGGGAAACCGGAGCUAAUACCGGAUGAUAUUUUGAACCGCAUGGUUCAAAAGUGAAAGACGGUCUUGCUGUCACUUAUAGAUGGAUCCGCGCUGCAUUAGCUAGUUGGUAAGGUAACGGCUUACCAAGGCAACGAUGCAUAGCCGACCUGAGAGGGUGAUCGGCCACACUGGAACUGAGACACGGUCCAGACUCCUACGGGAGGCAGCAGUAGGGAAUCUUCCGCAAUGGGCGAAAGCCUGACGGAGCAACGCCGCGUGAGUGAUGAAGGUCUUCGGAUCGUAAAACUCUGUUAUCAGGGAAGAACAUAUGUGUAAGUAACUGUGCACAUCUUGACGGUACCUAAUCAGAAAGCCACGGCUAACUACGUG